rnacentral:rRNA from 1 species
GACGAACGCUGGCGGCGUGCUUAACACAUGCAAGUCGAACGGAAAGGCCCUGCUUUUGUGGGGUGCUCGAGUGGCGAACGGGUGAGUAACACGUGAGUAACCUGCCCUUGACUUUGGGAUAACUUCGGGAAACUGGGGCUAAUACCGGAUAGGAGCUCCUGCUGCAUGGUGGGGGUUGGAAAGUUUCGGCGGUUGGGGAUGGACUCGCGGCUUAUCAGCUUGUUGGUGGGGUAGUGGCUUACCAAGGCUUUGACGGGUAGCCGGCCUGAGAGGGUGACCGGCCACAUUGGGACUGAGAUACGGCCCAGACUCCUACGGGAGGCAGCAGUGGGGAAUAUUGCACAAUGGGCGGAAGCCUGAUGCAGCAACGCCGCGUGCGGGAUGACGGCCUUCGAGUUGUAAACCGCUUUCGCCUGUGACGAAGCGUGAGUGACGGUAAUGGGUAAAGAAGCACCGGCUAACUACGUGCCAGCAGCCGCGGUGAUACGUAGGGUGCGAGCGUUGUCCGGAUUUAUUGGGCGUAAAGGGCUCGUAGGUGGUUGAUCGCGUCGGAAGUGUAAUCUUGGGGCUUAACCCUGAGCGUGCUUUCGAUACGGGUUGACUUGAGGAAGGUAGGGGAGAAUGGAAUUCCUGGUGGAGCGGUGGAAUGCGCAGAUAUCAGGAGGAACACCAGUGGCGAAGGCGGUUCUCUGGGCCUUUCCUGACGCUGAGGAGCGAAAGCGUGGGGAGCGAACAGGCUUAGAUACCCUGGUAGUCCACGCUGUAAACGGUGGGUACUAGGUGUGGGGUCCAUUCCACGGGUUCCGUGCCGUAGCUAACGCUUUAAGUACCCCGCCUGGGGAGUACGGCCGCAAGGCUAAAACUCAAAGGAAUUGACGGGGCCCCGCACAAGCGGCGGAGCAUGCGGAUUAAUUCGAUGCAACGCGUAGAACCUUACCUGGGUUUGACAUGGAUCGGGAGCGCUCAGAGAUGGGUGUGCCUCUUUUGGGGUCGGUUCACAGGUGGUGCAUGGCUGUCGUCAGCUCGUGUCGUGAGAUGUUGGGUUAAGUCCCGCAACGAGCGCAACCCUUGUUCACUGUUGCCAGCACGUUAUGGUGGGGACUCAGUGGAGACCGCCGGGGUCGACUCGGAGGAAGGUGGGGAUGACGUCAAGUCAUCAUGCCCCUUAUGUCCAGGGCUUCACGCAUGCUACAAUGGCUGGUACAGAGAGUGGCGAGCCUGUGAGGGUGAGCGAAUCUCGGAAAGCCGGUCUCAGUUCGGAUUGGGGUCUGCAACUCGACCUCAUGAAGUCGGAGUCGCUAGUAAUCGCAGAUCAGCAACGCUGCGGUGAAUACGUUCCCGGGGCU